GCUACGGGUGGCAGCAGUGAGGACUAUUGGUCAAUGGCCGGAAGGCUGAACCAGCCAAGCCGCGUGAAGGACGAAGGUGCCAAGCAUUGUAAACUUCUUUUGUCAAGGGACAAAAUCAGGCUCGAGAGCCUGACCGAGGGUACUUGAAGAAAAAGCAUCGGCUAACUCCUUGCCAGCAGCCGCGGUAAUACGGAGGAUGCGAGCGUUAUCCGGAUUUAGUGGGUUUAAAGGGUGCGUAGGCGGCCUGUUAAGUCAGCGGUACAAGCCCGGGGACCAACGCCGGCGAGCCGUGGAAACUGGCUGUCUUGAGAUGUCGAGAGGUAUGCGGAAUGCGCAGUGUAGCGGUGAAAUGCUUAGAUAUGGCGCAGAACUCCGAUUGCGAAGGCAGCAUACCGGCGGCGAUCUGACGCUGAGGCACGAAAGCGUGGGUAUCGAACAGGAUUAGAUACCCGUGUAGUC
rnacentral:rRNA from 1 species